GCCUAAUGCUAGGGAAUUUCAACACAGUAAGCACAUGCUUUGUUAACCUUUCCCUCUUUCUCCAGCAUUUUCUUGGGACUUUUUCUCAUAACAAUACCACGGCAUUUCCUGCUGCAUUGCCUGUGAUAAGAGCAUAUGGAUCUGAGAGAAACGAAGGGGAAGUAAAAGAAAUGCAGGCAGCUGUGAAGACUGGAAAAAUAAGACUACCCUACGCUCCCCAAGAACGCAGAGAUACAGAGAAGACAUCAUGAGUUCCUACCAGGUUUUUGUCCCAGGCUGCAGAAAAUGAAAGAGGAAGUAUCAGCAAUAGCUCUGUUAGCCAUUCUUUAAAGUCACAUGGGGAAUCUAGCACAUUGCCAUGGGUCUGGGUAAACAGGAAGCCCAAAUCAGCCCACUCACAUUGCUAGCUGUACUUGGCGCUGGCUCCCAUCUGGACAUAUACCAACGGCAGACUGGAAGAACCCCAUGCUAAAUCCUAGAAGUGUCUCAGAAGCAUUUCCAGUCCUCAGAAAAAUGACACAUACAGAAGGUAUCUACCCCACUGUUGUGUAAUCGAGAGAAGCUGGAGGAACAAUAGAUUGGUAUGCUGCCAAACUGCACAGAAAAUGGCUGACUCAUGUCAGUAUGAAAUCUUAAGACCUGAAGUAAUUAGUGGUAGACUUGUGAGUGGGAAAAAAGUGCAAUGAGACUGCUGAAAGAAAAGCUGUCCUCACUGCUGGUAAACUGCAGGUGUGUCUAAAGCUGCUGCAAGGGCACAGCCAAAAACAGAGCUGAAGUGGAGCUGACAUAGUCAGGUAGAACAGAGAAGCGUAAAAAACCAUCAAAAGCAAAUGCAUAAAUAUGAAGCAGAGGACAUCAGGGAAGAGUUUUGGUGCUGUUAGAAAAAUGUGCACAGCAUAGGAAAAUUUGCAUGGUGAUGAUAUUAAUACUGUGCAAAAGGGCAAAAAUAAAACUUCUGAGCUGUGUGCCA
rnacentral:lncRNA from 1 species